rnacentral:rRNA from 1 species
CACGUAGGGGGCGAGCGUUGUCCGGAUUUAUUGGGCGUAAAGAGCUCGUGAGGCGGUUCGAUAAGUCGGGAUGUGAAACUCUGGGCUCAACCCAGAGACGCCACCCGAAUACUGUCGUGACUGGAGUCCGGUUAGGGGAGUAUGGAAUUUCCGGUGUAGCGGUGAAAUGCGCAGAUAGUCGGAAAGGAACACCAGUAGCGAAGGCGGUACUCUGGGCGGAACUGACGCUGAGGAGCCGAAAGCGUGGGGAGCGAACAGG